rnacentral:rRNA from 1 species
UGGGGAAUAUUGCACAAUGGGCGCAAGCCUGAUGCAGCCAUGCCGCGUGUAUGAAGAAGGCCUUCGGGUUGUAAAGUACUUUCAGCGGGGAGGAAGGGAGUAAAGUUAAUACCUUUGCUCAUUGACGUUACCCGCAGAAGAAGCACCGGCUAACUCCGUGCCAGCAGCCGCGGUAAUACGGAGGGUGCAAGCGUUAAUCGGAAUUACUGGGCGUAAAGCGCACGCAGGCGGUUUGUUAAGUCAGAUGUGAAAUCCCCGGGCUCAACCUGGGAACUGCAUCUGAUACUGGCAAGCUUGAGUCUCGUAGAGGGGGGUAGAAUUCCAGGUGUAGCGGUGAAAUGCGUAGAGAUGUGGAGGAAUACCGGUGGCGAAGGCGGCCCCCUGGACAAAGACUGACGCUCAGGUGCGAAAGCGUGGGGAGCAAACAGG